GCUUCCCCUUUGCCUUUCAUCAUGACUGUAGGUUUCCUGAUGCCUCCCCAGCCAUGCUUCGUGUAUAGCCUGCAGAGCCAUUACUCAAUUCAACGUCUUUCCUUUAUAAAUUACCCAGUUUCCGGUAUUUCUUAAUAGCAACAUGAGAACAAGACUAAUACAGAUGGGACAAUCCAUAGUAUUUUGAAAUUUGUCACUAUUCCUUAUACACAUUUGUGCUUCUUCAGUCUGAUCUCCAUACUGUUACUGGAGAUGGCUUUCUGAAACACAGCUUUCUCUAAAGCCCUAUUUGACUCCUCAUUGACACCGAAGAAAAAUAAAAACUUCUCAUCUUGACAUGCAGAGCCUUUGAUGGCCCAGCUUCUGUCUUCUGUGUGUCCUCCCUCAGUAACCUACACCUUCUCUAUACUGUAGCCUCCCCUAAUUCAGUGGGUUGCAGUCCUUUUUGUGCCAUACUCUUGCCCUCCUGUGGCUGGGCACAUUCUGGCUGGAAUGUUUUGCCCUACCAGCAUUGUGCUGGUUUUUCCUUUCAUAAUCAGAGUAGAAGGUGGCUUUCUUUUCUUACUAGUUCUUUUUUCUCUUCUAGUUUAGUUAUCUUUCAUUCCAAUCCCAUAAUUCCCUUGAUAGACUUCAAUUCCAAAAUGUGGGACCCUAAAUUUCAUUUGAUAGUUUCCCUGUCUUUCUCUCUCACUAGGUUAUUGGCUUCUGGAGGCAGAGACCAUAACUUUCACCUCUGUAAAUAGUGGAAUGGUACAUAGCAGCCGAAUGACAGUUGGUUAAGUGGUUAAGUGGCCUGCAUGAGAAAGAAGUGUUACUUCUGGGAGGAGAAACACAGAAGGGAGUCUUAGACCCGGUCUAUUUUGUCCUGUAAGGACUAGAACAGGAGGGUUGUAUUAAAUUAAUCAAGCUCCAUAAUAAAGCAGGCGUUGGAAAGUGGGAAAUUGUUUAGAGAAGAAUGUCUGAGAGAGUCUUGGAAAAUAUAAGGAGUGCAUUUUGGAAAAUGAAGACAGUAAUAAACAAUGAUAUUUACAGGGAAUUGAAGUUAAAGUGCCUGCAGUGAUAUUAACUGAAAAGAAAAGGGUAAGUCACUGGACAGGAAGCACACAGUCCGCCCAAGGAAAGCUGUGAGGGCUGUGGACUGACUAAGGAACAGACAAAUAUGAAUGGGAAACAGAAUCCAAAUACAUUCGUGAAAAAAGUAACAGUGGCUGUCCCUGAUGACAGGUGAUGUUCCUAACAAUUUUUAAAUAAUUACCUAGUAUUAGAUACAUGGUGUGGGGGGCUGUACAUAGAUUUUUUUUUCCUCUUAAUUCAAACAAAAUAGAACAGAGAAUUCUUGUGUGGAGAAGACUCAAGGGGCAGAGGAGGAGUUAGGAGAGCUAUUUUCAAAUAUUUAUUGGGUCAUGAUGUGGAAAAGAGAUUAGAAUUAUUCUGCAUGAUUUAAUUAGAACUACUUACUGAAAAGCUAGACAAAGGUACAGUUUAGCUCAUAUUAAGCAAGUGUUAUGUCUCUAUGGUGUUAAAAGAUAAUUUCUAAUUAAAGGUAAAUUCAUGACUCAUAGAAUAAAAAUAAAUACGUGUCAAAAAUCUUAACUCAUGAAUGAGGAAACUGGUGAGGUAUUAUAACCAGUUCCAAGGCAAAUGUAAAGAAUAAACAAAUUUAGAUUUGUAAAAUAGUUCCCAAGGAGUCAGAAUCAGAUAUGACAUAAUUUUCCAUUGAAUCCCCAAGUUUCCCCUAUGGUGUCUCUUUUUGACCAAAAAUAUCAAAGAAAUACUAUUCUCGAUCUGUAGCGUGAACCGUGGUGGCCUGUUUCCAUGUUGUGUUUGGCACCAGGAAUGACCCGGGAGUAGCCAAAUGAUGACCUGUUGCGGAUACUGUAGAAAAAGUUUACUCAUAGGAUAGCUGGUUUGCCUGGACGACUUUAAAGAUAGUUAAUAACUUUAAAUUUCUAAGAUAUUACUUCACCACUCAGGGAGCCAGCUCCUGAACCUGUAUCACUACAGCCGGGUCCUUUUACAAAUUCAAGUUCCUGUUAAUACAAACAACUACCCUUCCCCUGCUGAUGAGAGUUUACUGUGUUUCUCAGCGUGCCUUGAGAAUCUACCUGCCCUUUAGAUUCCAGUUCUCUCCUUAUUUGUCUUACUUUCACCAACUAAAAUAUCUUCCUGUCUCUUAAAAUCACUUUUGACUUGGAAAAAAAACAACUGUAGAAGGUAAGAUUAUGUGGGUUAUUUAGGCUGGAUCUUUACCUCCCCUAACCACCAAAAAAAAAAAAAAAAGAAAUAUUCAAGAG